AUAAUGCUAUGGAAAGUAUGCAAAACCUUUGCUAUUAUUUUCUGAAAUAUCAUUUUUUUUAUAAAAAAAACUAAAAUAAAUCCGCCUCCUUGAGACUUGAAAUUAUACCUUCCUCUAAGCCUCCUCACAACUCAUAAUUUUAUAAUAAGAUAAUCAAAUUAGUCAUGUCCUUGUUAACCGUGGUUGGAUUCCUCUAGGGGAUAUGGAGAACGGGUAAAGGAGUCGGAGGUCCGUUUUAUCACAAGUGGGCCGGAACCCAGCAAAGGCAAGAACCGCCGACAUCGAUAAGAUCUGGGUCAAUAUCCAAUCAUGGAUUUUACCCUCACUCUCUCUCUCUCUCUCUCUCUCUCUCGCUCACCUAGGGCUCUUGGUGUCUCUCCCAUUAGCUACUCCAACUUUCCUUCAUUUUCACGCUAAUGCAUUCUCCUGGAUUCUCAGCACCCAAACACUCCAAUUUGCCGCAUCUCAAGACUCUCAAACAUAGAUCCCUCCUGGAACUCCCUCGUUUCUGAUCCCAAAAUGGCAUUGAGACGGGGAUUAUCCGGUGCGGCCUUGCAGAGGAACAGACCCAGCCGAUCUCGAUUGCCUCUGGCCGUCGUCAUCUCCCUUUCGUUACUCGCACCGUUGAUUUUCUUCGUUGGGCGCGGCAUCUACACUAUAGAUCAUACUGAUGUGACAAGUAGCUCUAGUAAACAGGAUGUAGAUUGGAGAGAAAGGCUUGCACUGCAACAUAUUAAAUCCCUCCUUUCCAAAGAGGUCAUUGAUAUUAUCACAGCGACGACAGAUGAUCUGGGGCCUUUUAGUCUUGAUUAUUUCAGAAAAAGCAAUUUGUCUGCAUCGUGGAAAGUUGUUGGCCUAGGGACUUCAGUUGAGAAUAAUACUUCUUCUUUAGAGCCCAACCAAAUGGGUCCAGCUGUCAAACAAGAACGACCUGGAGGCAAACAGGAUAAAUAUUCAGGGGGUGAUCACUCUCAGUUCAUUGAUUCACCUGCAAAACUUGUCCGGAGGCAAUUAAGGGAGAAAAGACGUGAUAAACGUGCUGCUGACUUGGUGCGGCAAGAUGAUGAAGCAACAGUAAAACUUGAAAAUGCUGCCAUUGAGCGUUCCAAAUCAGUAGACUCUGCAGUUUUGGGGAAAUACAGUAUAUGGAGGAAAGAGAAUGACAAUGAAAACACUGAUUCAACCGUACGCUUAAUGCGGGAUCAGAUGAUUAUGGCUAGAGUAUAUGCAAGCAUUGCGAAAAUGAAGAACAAGCUUGACUUGCAGCAAGAGUUACUGGCACGGCUUAAAGAAAGUCAACGUUCUUUAGGAGAGGCAAGUGCUGAUUCUGAUUUACACCACAGUGCACCUGAGAAAAUCAAAGCUAUGGGUCAAGUUCUGUCAAAAGCGAAAGAGCAGUUAUAUGACUGCAAGCUGGUCACUGGGAAGCUGAGAGCAAUGCUUCAAUCAGCAGAUGAACAAGUCAGGAGCUUAAAAAAGCAGAGCACAUUCCUGAGUCAAUUAGCAGCCAAGACAAUUCCUAAUGGAAUCCACUGCUUGUCUAUGCGCUUGACCAUUGAGUACUAUCUUCUUCCUCCAGAGAAAAGAAGGUUUCCUAGAAGUGAGAAUUUGGAAAAUCCAAAUCUUUACCAUUAUGCUCUCUUCUCUGAUAAUGUAUUGGCUGCUUCAGUUGUUGUCAACUCAACCAUCUUGAAUGCCAAGGAACCAGAAAAACAUGUAUUCCAUCUGGUUACUGAUAAGCUGAAUUUUGGAGCCAUGAAUAUGUGGUUUCUGUUGAACCCCCCAGGAAAAGCAACUAUCCAUGUGGAAAAUGUUGAUGAAUUUAAGUGGCUUAAUUCAUCCUACUGCCCAGUUCUGAGGCAGCUCGAGUCUGCUGCUAUGAAAGCAUUCUAUUUCAAUCAGGGGCAUCCCAGUACUCUGUCAUCAGGCUCUUCUAAUCUAAAGUACAGGAAUCCAAAGUAUCUCUCAAUGCUUAACCACCUGAGGUUUUAUCUCCCUGAGGUUUAUCCCAAGUUGGAUAAGAUACUGUUUCUUGAUGAUGACAUUGUUGUACAGAAAGACUUGACUGGAUUAUGGUCGGUGAAUCUCCAUGGGAAGGUGAAUGGUGCAGUAGAGACCUGUGGUGAGAGUUUUCACCGUUUUGAUAAAUAUCUGAACUUUUCUAAUCCUCAUAUUGCAAGAAACUUUGAUCCAAAUGCUUGUGGGUGGGCAUAUGGAAUGAACAUUUUUGAUCUCAAGGAGUGGACAAGAAGGGAUAUUACUGGCAUAUAUCAUAAGUGGCAGAACAUGAAUGAAGAUAGGACGCUAUGGAAGCUUGGAACAUUGCCCCCUGGGCUGAUUACAUUCUAUAAGCUGACCCAUCCAAUUGAGAAAUCUUGGCAUGUGCUGGGCUUGGGAUACAAUCCAAGCAUUGAUAAGUCGGAUAUUGAGAAUGCUGCAGUUAUACAUUACAAUGGAAACAUGAAACCAUGGCUGGAGUUGGCAAUGACGAAGUACCGGUCUUACUGGACUAAGUACAUUAAAUAUGAUCAUCCCUACCUUCGCAGCUGCAACCUAAGUGAAUGAAUGGGAACACAAAAGAUCAGCAAAGGGACAGUGGGAUGCACCUUCUUUGCUCCAACCUAAGUGAAUGAUUGGGAAUACUGAGAAGCAGCAAAGGUACAGUGUUAUGCUCAGUGAGUGUGAUUCUUUCCCCAAUGAAAGAGUACAAGAUUCGGGAGGGAUUCUCUACAUGGCCCUUACCUCAUUUGUUCAACAACAAAUCAAGAUAGAUACCUUUUGAAAAGUGGGAUUGAUCCAUCUCCACAAAGCUUUGUUGGGCACAUGCCAGAAUCCCACUGCCUAAUGGAUGCUCAAACUCGAAUUUUGACAGAAUUCUUUCUUGGAACUUUGAGAAAAUUUAUUUUUUCUUUCACUGGCUGUGCAAUGUCCUCGAUAAAUAUAUAGAAAUGUCUUGUAAGUGAUCAUGUAUCAUCCAUGAUGGCUAAGAUACUAUAAUGUGCCUUUCCUUGCUACUUUCUUGUUGGUUUUACUUUGUUCAUAGAUGCAUACUUUGUGUGUGAGUGAUUAA